rnacentral:rRNA from 1 species
GAUGAACGCUGGCGGCGUGCCUAACACAUGCAAGUCGAACGAAGCACCUGCGCGGAGCCCUUCGGGGUGAAGCGCUUGUGACUGAGUGGCGGACGGGUGAGUAACGCGUGGGCAACCUGCCCUAUACCGGGGGACAACAGCUGGAAACGGCUGCUAAUACCGCAUAAGCGCACGAGGCCGCAUGGCCAUGUGUGAAAAACUCCGGUGGUAUAGGAUGGACCCGCGUCCGAUUAGCUAGUUGGUGGUGUAACGGACCCCCAAGGCGACGAUCGGUAGCCGGCCUGAGAGGGCGGACGGCCACAUUGGGACUGAGACACGGCCCAGACUCCUGCGGGAGGCAGCAGUGGGGGAUAUUGCACAAUGGGGGAAACCCUGAUGCAGCGACGCCGCGUGAGUGAAGAAGUAUCUCGGUAUGUAAAGCUCUAUCAGCAGGGAAGAAAAUGACGGUACCUGACUAAGAAGCCCCGGCUAACUACGUGCCAGCCGCCGCCGUAACAC